GUCCACGCCGUAAACGAUGGGCACUAGGUGUCGGGGGUAUCCACUCCCUCUGUGCCGCCGCUAACGCAUUAAGUGUCCCGCCUGGGAAGUACGGUCGCAAGAUUAAAACUCAAAGGAAUUGACGGGGGCCCGGCACAAGCGGUGGAGCAUGUGGUUCAAUUCGAUGCAACGCGAAGAACCUUACCUGGGUUUGACAUCUGGCGCAGGGACUGGAAACAGCCCCGUGCCCGCAAGGGAACGCCAAGACAGGUGCUGCAUGGCUGUCGU
rnacentral:rRNA from 1 species